rnacentral:rRNA from 1 species
GGGUCAGUAGGUUGGUCGUGCCACCGGUACGUACUGGUCUCACUGAUUCCUCCUUCCUGAAGAACCGUAAUGCCAUUAAUUUGGUGUUGCGGGGAAACAGGACUAUUACUUUGAAAAAAUUAGAGUGUUUAAAGCAAGCUAACGCUUGAAUACACUAGCAUGGAAUAAUGAAAUAGGACGAUCGAUCCUAUUUUGUUGGUUUCUAGGAUUGACGUA